GACAGAGGAUGCAAGCGUUAUCCGGAAUGAUUGGGCGUAAAGCGUCUGUAGGUGGCUUAUUAAGUCUACUGUCAAAUCCCAAGGCUUAACCUUGGCUGGGCGGUAGAGACUACUAAGCUGGAGUACGUUAGGGGCAGAGGGAAUUUCCGGUGGAGCGGUGAAAUGCGUAGAGAUCGGAAAGAACACCAAGGGCGAAAGCACUCUGCUGGGCCGAUACUGACACUGAGAGACGAAAGCUAGGGGAGCAAAUGGG
rnacentral:rRNA from 1 species